rnacentral:rRNA from 1 species
CGAACGGGUGAGUAACACGUGGGCAACCUGCCCAAAAGAGGGGGAUAACACUUGGAAACAGGUGCUAAUACCGCAUAACCAUAGUUACCGCAUGGUAACUAUGUAAAAGGUGGCUAUGCUACCGCUUUUGGAUGGGCCCGCGGCGCAUUAGCUAGUUGGUGGGGUAAAGGCUUACCAAGGCAAUGAUGCGUAGCCGAACUGAGAGGUUGAUCGGCCACAUUGAGACUGAGACACGGCCCAAACUCCUACGGAAGGCAGCAG